rnacentral:rRNA from 1 species
UUCUAAGGGCGUUGAAGCAUGAUCGCAAGGACAUGUGGAGCGCUUAGAAGUGAGAAUGCCGGUGUGAGUAGCGAAAGACGGGUGAGAAUCCCGUCCACCGAUUGACUAAGGUUUCCAGAGGAAGGCUCGUCCGCUCUGGGUUAGUCGGGUCCUAAGCUGAGGCCGACAGGCGUAGGCGAUGGAUAACAGGUUGAUAUUCCUGUACCACCAUUAUUCGUUUUAAGCGAUGGGGGGACGCAGUAGGAUAGGCGAAGCGUGCUGUUGGAGUGCACGUCCAAGCAGUGAGAUUGAGUGUUAGGCAAAUCCGGCACUCUUAAGAUUGAGCUGUGAUGGGGAGAGGAACUUGUUCCUCGAGUCGUUGAUUUCACACUGCCGAGAAAAGCCUCUAGCUAGAAUAACGGUGCCCGUACCGCAAACCGACACAGGUAGUCAAGAUGAGAAUUCUAAGGUGAGCGAGCGAACUCUCGUUAAGGAACUCGGCAAAAUGACCCCGUAACUUCGGGAGAAGGGGUGCUCUUUGAGGUUCACGCUUCGAAGAGCCGCAGUGAAUAGGCCCAAGCGACUGUUUAUCAAAAACACAGGUCUCUGCUAAACCGUAAGGUGACGUAUAGGGGCUGACGCCUGCCCGGUGCUGGAAGGUUAAGAGGAGUGGUUAGCGCAAGCGAAGCUACGAAUCGAAGCCCCAGUAAACGGCGGCCGUAACUAUAACGGUCCUAAGGUAGCGAAAUUCCUUGUCGGGUAAGUUCCGACCCGCACGAAAGGCGUAACGAUUUGGGCACUGUCUCAACGAGAGACUCGGUGAAAUCAUAGUACCGGUGAAGAUGCCGGUUACCCGCGACAGGACGGAAAGACCCCGUGGAGCUUUACUGUAGCCUGAUAUUGAAAUUCGGUACAGUUUGUACAGGAUAGGUAGGAGCCUUAGAAGCGUGAGCGCUAGCUUACGUGGAGGCAUUGGUGGGAUACUACCCUAAUUGUAUUGGAUUUCUAACCCGCAGCACUUAUCGUGCUGGGAGACAGUGUCAGGCGGGCAGUUUGACUGGGGCGGUCGCCUCCUAAAGAGUAACGGAGGCGCUCAAAGGUUCCCUCAGAAUGGUUGGAAAUCAUUCAUAGAGUGUAAAGGCAUAAGGGAGCUUGACUGCGAGACCUACAAGUCGAGCAGGGUCGAAAGACGGACUUAGUGAUCCGGUGGUUCCGCAUGGAAGGGCCAUCGCUCAACGGAUAAAAGCUACCCCGGGGAUAACAGGCUUAUCUCCCCCAAGAGUUCACAUCGACGGGGAGGUUUGGCACCUCGAUGUCGGCUCAUCGCAUCCUGGGGCUGUAGUCGGUCCCAAGGGUUGGGCUGUUCGCCCAUUAAAGCGGUACGCGAGCUGGGUUCAGAACGUCGUGAGACAGUUCGGUCCCUAUCCGUCGUGGGCGUAGGAAAUUUGAGAGGAGCUGUCCUUAGUACGAGAGGACCGGGAUGGACAUACCUCUGGUGUACCAGUU